rnacentral:rRNA from 1 species
GAUGAACGCUGGCGGCGUGCCUAAUACAUGCAAGUCGAGCGAACAGACGAGGAGCUUGCUCCUCUGACGUUAGCGGCGGACGGGUGAGUAACACGUGGAUAACCUACCUAUAAGACUGGGAUAACUUCGGGAAACCGGAGCUAAUACCGGAUAAUAUAUUGAACCGCAUGGUUCAAUAGUGAAGGACGGUUUUGCUGUCACUUAUAGAUGGAUCCGCGCCGCAUUAGCUAGUUGGUAAGGUAACGGCUUACCAAGGCGACGAUGCGUAGCCGACCUGAGAGGGUGAUCGGCCACACUGGAACUGAGACACGGUCCAGACUCCUACGGGAGGCAGCAGUAGGGAAUCUUCCGCAAUGGGCGAAAGCCUGACGGAGCAACGCCGCGUGAGUGAUGAAGGUCUUCGGAUCGUAAAACUCUGUUAUUAGGGAAGAACAAAUGUGUAAGUAACUAUGCACGUCUUGACGGUACCUAAUCAGAAAGCCACGGCUCACUACGUG